rnacentral:lncRNA from 1 species
UUUAUGGCAGAGUGCAAGGCUCUAAGCAAAGUGAGACAUCGGAAUAUAGUGAAGUUAAUCACAACUUGCUCGAGCUUGGACUCCAAGAACGAAGAGUUCUGGGCUUUAGUUUACGAGUUCCUCCCUAAUGGAAGUCUAGCAGACUGGCUAAACGCCAACAAAGAUGGAGGAAAGAGAGAUGAGUUGACGCUGCUUCAUAGAUUGAACAUAGCUAUUGAUGUGGCUAGUGCAUUGGAUUACCUGCACCAUGGGUGUGAUGUACCAGUGGUACACUGUGACUUGAAACCCAGCAACAUUCUGUUAGACCAAGACAUGACGGCCAAAGUUGGCGACUUUGGACUUGCAAAGCUGCUGAUAAGCGAUCAUGAAGCUCCCAUCAGCUCUGCACAUUUCAUUAAAGGAUCAAUCGGCUACAUUCCUCCAGGUAAAAAUAUACCUUUUCUAGACAAAAUCAAAUAACUCUCUGCCUAAUGUUUUUUGAACAAAAUCUUUGUUCUGCCUAAUGUUUGGUUCACGCUAUAUAACAAACGCCUUAUCUGCAGAGUAUGGAGUCGGGUCAAAACCUUCGAUUGCAGGGGACACUUACAGCUUUGGGGUGAUGCUGUUGCAGCUAAUAACUGGGAAGAGCCCAAUCGACGAGAGCUUGAUGGAGAGUGGGGAGAGUCUGAUGGGUUGGGUCGGAUCGUCGUACCCGGGAGAAGUGAUGAAAGUGGUGGAUCCGAAGG